CCUACGGGAGGCAGCAGUGAGGAAUAUUGGUCAAUGGACGAGAGUCUGAACCAGCCAAGUAGCGUGAAGGAUGACUGCCCUAUGGGUUGUAAACUUCUUUUAUAUGGGAAUAAAAUGUUCCACGUGUGGGAUUUUGUAUGUACCAUAUGAAUACGGAUCGGCUAACUCCGUGCCAGCCGCCGCGGUAAUACGGAGGUUCCGAGCGUUAUCCGGAUUUAUUGGGUUUAAAGGGAGCGUCGGUGGAUUGUUAAGUCAGUUGUGAAAGUUUGCGGCUCAACCGUAAAAUUGCAGUUGAAACUGGCAGUCUUGAGUACAGUAGAGGUGGGCGGAAUUCGUGGUGUAGCGGUGAAAUGCUUAGAUAUCACGAAGAACUCCGAUUGCGAAGGCAGCUCACUGGACUGCAACUGACACUGAGGCUCGAAAGUGUGGGUAUCAAACAGGAUUAGAUACCCGAGUAGUC
rnacentral:rRNA from 1 species